ensembl:lncRNA
GGGGUGCGGUUACACCAUAACCAGUUUGUGCUGCUGCCAGGGGCCAAACCCACAGGCUGACAAAAACAGUCUACUUUGCAUCCCUCUACUUUCUGCUGUGCCUGAAGGCGUCAUAUUUUCUCAAAUCAGAGGUAAGUCGGUUGAAUUUCUUCGUACAUAUUAGUAAUGAACUUGCAACUUUCUGUUUAGUGUCAGUGAUUUGAAUGCAAUUUUAUAAACUUCAGAGCAUGUAGUAAAGUCUCAGGAAAAAAGAUACUAAUAUGUACUUUUAAAAUACUUAUAUGUAGCUUUAAGGUACUAACAUGUACCCUUUAUGUGUAAAUCGGUACAAAGAUGUUCCUUUUAGUUUUUGUACCUUGGGAUACUGCCCCAGUGACAGCUUUGUUUCUUUUUUCUGAGUGUGUAGGCUACACUUACUGUCAAACGGGCAAUGGAGUGGCAAUGAAAAAGAUCUCUGCAGGAUACGAUCCAAGAACAACAGGAGGCCAGGAACAUGACCCUGAAAUGAUGCCCCAAGAUCAGCUUAGUUUUCCAGACAAACAAUUUGAGUGACGACAUCCAGUGUGCAGUUCUCUAAAAGAUUGGCAUAGUCCUCAUCAUCUGGCCAAUUUUUAGGGUGUUUUUUGUUCAGCAAAAGUGUUUAGUCAUAAUGGGUGUGCAUUCCGAAACACAGUGGCAGAACUUUCACAUUUUAUAACAAUACCUUCCAUUUGCAUAUUACUCACUCGCUUGUUUUUUUGUGUCUA